AUUGAACGCUGGCGGCAUGCCUUACACAUGCAAGUCGAACGGCAGCGGGGGCUUCGGUCCGCCGGCGAGUGGCGAACGGGUGAGUAAUGCAUCGGAACGUGCCCAGUCGUGGGGGAUAACACAUCGAAAGAUGUGCUAAUACCGCAUACGUCCUGAGGGAGAAAGCGGGGGAUCUUCGGACCUCGCGCGAUUGGAGCGGCCGAUGUCGGAUUAGCUAGUUGGUGGGGUAAAGGCCCACCAAGGCGACGAUCCGUAGCGGGUCUGAGAGGAUGAUCCGCCACACUGGGACUGAGACACGGCCCAGACUCCUACGGGAGGCAGCAGUGGGGAAUUUUGGACAAUGGGGGCAACCCUGAUCCAGCCAUGCCGCGUGAGUGAAGAAGGC
rnacentral:rRNA from 1 species